UACGUAGGUGACAAGCGUUGUCCGGAUUUACUGGGCGUAAAGAGCGCGCAGGCGGUCGAUCAAGUCGAGUGUGAAAGCCCCCGGCUCAACUGGGGAGGGUCAUUCGAUACUGAUCGACUCGAAGGCAGGAGAGGGUAGUGGAAUUCCCGGUGUAGUGGUGAAAUGCGUAGAUAUCGGGAGGAACACCAGUGGCGAAGGCGACUACCUGGCCUGUUCUUGACGCUGAGGUGCGAAAGCUAGGGGAGCAAACGGG
rnacentral:rRNA from 1 species